GACGAACCGAGCGAACGUUAUUCGGAAUCACUGGGCUUAAAGGGCGCGUAGGCGGGUCGUACAGUCUAUGGUGAAAUCCUCCAGCUUAACUGGAGAACUGCCGUGGAUACUCACGACCUCGAGGAAUGUAGGGGCAUCUGGAACUGGUGGUGGAGCGGUGAAAUGCGUUGAUAUCAUCAGGAACUCCGGUGGCGAAGGCGAGGUGCUGGACAUUUUCUGACGCUGAGGCGCGAAAGCCAGGGGAGCAAAC
rnacentral:rRNA from 1 species